UGAACACAUUCCGACGCCUUAGGAUGGAUCUGCGGCCGAUUAGGUUGUUGUCGGGUAAUGGCCCAACAAGCCAGUGAUCGGUACGGGUUGUGGGAGCAAGAGCCCGGAGUUGGAUUCUGAGACACGAAUCCAGGCCCUACGGGGCGCAGCAGGCGCGAAAACUUUACAAUGCGGGCAACCGUGAUAAGGGAACCUCGAGUGCCUGUAUAUGCAGGCUGUCCAGGUGUCUAAAACACACCUGAAGAAAGGGCCGGGCAAGACCGGUGCCAGCCGCCGCGGUAAUACCGGCGGCUCGAGUGGUGGCCACUUUUAUUGGGCUUAAAGCGUUCGUAGCUGGGUUGUUAAGUCUUUGGUGAAAUCCCACAGCUUAACUGUGGGAAUUGCUGGGGAUACUAUCAGGCUUGAGGCCGGGAGAGGUUAGCGGUACUCCCAGGGUAGGGGUGAAAUCCUAUAAUCCUGGGAGGACCACCUGUGGCGAAGGCGGCUAACUGGAACGAACCUGACGGUGAGUAACGAAAGCCAGGGGCGCGAACCGGAUUAGAUACCCGGGUAGUCCUGGGCCGUAAACGAUGUGGACUUGGUGUUGGGAUGGCUUCGAGCUGCUCCAGUGCCGAAGGGAAGCUGUUAAGUCCAUCGCCUGGGAAGUACGGUCGCAAGACUGAAACUUAAG
rnacentral:rRNA from 1 species